ACUCAAAUCCAAAAUCCAAUUUGGCUCGUUUUUAGGUUUUCUUCUCCCUUCCGGUUUUGUGCUCUCAGAAACCCUAACAGAUCAGAAACCCUAGAGCUGCAAUCCAACCUCUGCAAUUCCAUCAUUGAUGUACGCCUACGACAACCGACACGCCGACGUCAACUCCUACCGUGAGCGCCGAAGUGACCUAAUGGGUCCAGCGCCUGCGGCUGGUGGCACCGCUUAUGGCCGUGGAGGUGGGCCCGCUCCGUAUGGGGGCCCAUCGCCUCCGGUUGCUCCGUAUUCGGCAAGGGUGGGUGGACCGGCACAGGGUCCAGGAGACUUUAAUGGGUACCCGCCGUUCCAGCCCCCUUCCGAGCGGUUCAAUAUCGGUCGAGGUGGUGGUAAUGGGAGCUUUGGUGGAAGAGCGUCGAAUGGACAUGUUGGUGGUGGAAGGGGUCGUGGUGGUAGUGUUGGGAGAUUUGGUGGCGGUGGCAGGGGUUUUGAUGGAGGCCGUGGUGGCGGUAGGAGCUUCGGUGGUAGUCGUGGUGGAGGUGCGGGUUUCGGCGGUGGGCGUGGAGUUGGUGGAAGAGGAGGUAGGCAUGGUGGCUCGUCAAGAGGAGACUUGGAUAAUAUUAUGCUUCCCAAGCAAGAUUUUGGGACCUUGGUACCUUUUGAAAAGAAUUUCUAUGCUGAAAGUCCUUCAGUGAGGGCAAUGUCAGAGCAUGAUGUUAUGGUGUAUCGUACUAGGCGGGAGAUUACUGUUGAAGGGCAUGACAUCCCAAAGCCGAUUCAGAUGUUUGAGGAUGCGAAUUUCCCUGAUUACUGCCUCGAGGCGAUUGCAAAAUUGGGUUUUGUUGAACCAACACCAAUUCAGGCUCAAGGAUGGCCAAUGGCAUUAAAGGGUAGAGAUUUAAUUGGCAUCGCUGAGACUGGUUCUGGUAAGACUUUGUCGUAUCUGCUGCCUGCUUUGGUACACAUUAGUGCGCAGCCUCGGUUAGCUCAGGGAGAAGGUCCUAUUGCAUUAGUAUUAGCACCUACUCGAGAAUUGGCAGUUCAAAUUCAAGAAGAAGCUUUAAAAUUUGGCUUACGUUCCAAUAUUAGGAGUACUUGCAUUUAUGGCGGUGCUCCAAAAGGACCCCAAAUACGCGACCUUAAAAGAGGGGUUGAGAUUGUUAUAGCUACGCCUGGCCGACUGAUAGAUAUGUUGGAAGCUCAGCAUACAAAUUUGCGAAGAGUCACUUAUCUAGUUUUAGAUGAGGCUGAUAGGAUGUUGGACAUGGGAUUUGAGCCACAGAUAAGGAAAAUUGUUUCCCAAACCCGACCAGAUCGGCAGACAUUGUAUUGGAGUGCCACGUGGCCAAGGGAGGUUGAAAGUUUAGCAAGGCAGUUUUUACGUAACCCAUAUAAGGUAAUCAUUGGAUCAGCAAGCCUUAAAGCAAACCAAUCCAUAAACCAAGUUGUUGAAGUUGUGACGGAGGUGGAGAAAUACAAUAGGCUGAUCAAAUUGCUCAAAGAAGCAAUGGUUGGGAGCAGAAUUCUGAUAUUUGUGGAGACGAAAAAGGGAUGUGACUACGUUACUAAACAAUUGAGGAUGGAUGGAUGGCCAGCUCUAUCCAUCCAUGGUGAUAAAAACCAGACUGAAAGGGACUGGGUCUUGGCUGAGUUUAAAAGUGGCAGGAACCCAAUAAUGACUGCCACCGAUGUGGCUGCGCGGGGUCUUGGUAGGAUCAUUGUGUGCUAGAAACCUUGGUGUUUAGGUCUUGAAUUUGAAAUAUUACGAGUCGGCCGGCUGCUGUCCAGUUCCUGAGAAUAUAAUUUGUGGUUUGGGUGCGAAGGGCAGGUGCCAUCACAUGUGAUAACUCUUACCAGUUUAAUGCCCCCUGUGAUAACUCUCUGGGUGCUUACCUUAUUUGAAUUUCAUGUUACAUGGACACAAGGAGCAAGGUUUCACUGGUAUGACUCGGGUUAACUUCCUAAGUCUGGGUGGUAUGCCGUUGUAUAAUGCAAGCCCGUAUCUUCCAUUGGUCUGGAAAGUCUAUUUUUUAUAUACAUGGGGCAUUUGAUAAUUCAUACGGCUCUCUGUAAGGAAAGUUCUCAAUUAUUUGUACUAGAGGUGCCUGAAAUGGUUUGGCUUCUCCUUUCAAGUGUCUAAGUAACAUGGUUGAAAUCAUUGUCGCCCAUCCACGGUUACGGAGCUGGGUAUCCUCGCAGCCCGGUUGACUCACGCAUGCUUGUUCAUUUGAUUGGAUAUGGGAAGUGGUGGUUGUGGUGAAGCUGCUCCUUAUCCCUGCUAGGUUAAGAUGUGAAGGACAUAAAAUGUGUGAUCAAUUAUGAUUUUCCAUCAAGCCUUGAGGAUUAUGUCCACAGGAUUGGAAGAACUGGACGUGCAGGAGCAACAGGAACUGCUUUAACCUUUUUCACGCAC